UACGAAGGGGGCUAGCGUUGUUCGGAGUUACUGGGCGUAAAGGGCGCGUAGGCGGCGCAUCAAGUCAGGCGUGAAAGCCCUGGGCUCAACCCGGGAAUUGCGCUUGAGACUGGUGUGCUUGAGUACGGGAGAGGAUAGUGGAAUUCCCAGUGUAGAGGUGAAAUUCGUAGAUAUUGGGAAGAACACCAGUGGCGAAGGCGGCUAUCUGGACCGUAACUGACGCUGAGGCGCGAAAGCGUGGGGAGCAAACAAG
rnacentral:rRNA from 1 species